rnacentral:rRNA from 2 species
CGAGCGAUGAAACUUUAACAGAACCCUUCGGGGCGAAGAUAAAGUGGAUUAGCGGCGGACGGGUGAGUAACACGUGAGUAACCUGCCUUAGACAUUGGGAUAGCCUCGGGAAACCGGGAUUAAUACCAAAUAAAAUCAUAAUGACACAUGUCAUAACGAUCAAAACUUCGGUGGUCUAAGAUGGACUCGCGUCCCAUUAGCUAGUUGGUAGAGUAAAAGCCUACCAAGGCGACGAUGGGUAGCCGGCCUGAGAGGGUGAACGGCCACAUUGGAACUGAGAAACGGUCCAAACUCCUACGGGAGGCAGCAGUGGGGAAUAUUGCACAAUGGAGGGAACUCUGAUGCAGCGACGCCGCGUGAACGAAGAAGGCUUUCGAGUCGUAAAGUUCUUUUAUAUGGGAAGAUAAUGACGGUACCAUAAGAAAAAGCCCCGGCUAACUACGUGCCAGCAGCCGCGGUAAUACGUAGGGGGCUAGCGUUGUCCGGAAUCACUGGGCGUAAAGGGUUCGCAGGCGGAAAUGCAAGUCAGAUGUAAAAGGCAGUAGCUUAACUACUGUAAGCAUUUGAAACUGCAUAUCUUGAGAAGAGUAGAGGUAAGUGGAACUUUUAGUGUAGCGGUGAAAUGCGUAGAUAUUAAAAAGAAUACCGGUGGCGAAGGCGACUUACUGGGCUCAUUCUGACGC